rnacentral:rRNA from 1 species
AGAGUUUGAUCCUGGCUCAGGAUGAACGCUAGCGGCAGGCUUAACACAUGCAAGUCGAGGGGCAGCGGGUGAGUAGCAAUACUUAUGCCGGCGACCGGCGGAAGGGUGCGUAACGCGUGAGCAACAUACCUAUAACAGGAGGAUAAUCCAGGGAAACUUGGUCUAAUACUCCAUAGGAUUAUUUAGAGGCAUCUUUAGAUAAUUAAAGCUUAGGUGGUUAUAGAUUGGCUCGCGUGACAUUAGCUAGAUGGUAAGGUAACGGCUUACCAUGGCGACGAUGUCUAGGGGUUCUGAGAGGAAGGUCCCCCACACUGGAACUGAGACACGGUCCAGACUCCUACGGGAGGCAGCAGUGAGGAAUAUUGGACAAUGGAUGGAAAUCUGAUCCAGCCAUGCCGCGUGGAGGAAGAAGGUCCUAUGGAUUGUAAACUUCUUUUGUGCGGGAGCAAUAAGGGUCAUGAAUGGCCUGAUGAGAGUACCGUACGAAUAAGCAUCGGCUAACUCCGUGCCAGCAGCCGCGGUAAUACGGAGGAUGCGAGCGUUAUCCGGAUUUAUUGGGUUUAAAGGGUGCGUAGGCGGUUACUGUAAGUCAGCGGUGAAAUUUAGGUGCUUAACACCUACCGUGCCGUUGAUACUGCAGAGCUGGAAUUAGGAUGCUGUUGGCGGAAUGUGUAGUGUAGCGGUGAAAUGCAUAGAUAUUACACAGAACACCGAUUGCGAAGGCAGCUGACAAAUCCUAUAUUGACGCUGAUGCACGAAAGUGUGGGGAUCAAACAGGAUUAGAUACCCUGGUAGUCCACACAGUAAACGAUGAUAACUCGCUGUCGGCGAUAUAAUGUCGGUAGUCAAGAGAAAUCGAUAAGUUAUCCACCUGGGGAGUACGACCGCAAGGUUGAAACUCAAAGGAAUUGACGGGGGCC